CUUGAAUCAGGGAGGUGGAGAUUGCAGAGAGCUGAGAUCAUGCCAUUGCACUCCAGCAUGGGUGACAGAGCGAAACUCCAUAAAAAAAAAAAAUGUAAGGGCUUGAAAAUAGUUUAUCAUCAUCAUUAAUUUAUUUCUGUAAACUCUUCCCCUUUCCUCUUUCCUCUUAGCAUAAUUGAACUUCCACAUGGAGGUCUGUUCUACUCCUGAUUCGAGUUUUGUAAAUAAUCUUUGUGGUAUUCUUUUGUGCCAAUGACAGCAGUUUAUUCUUCAGUUGAUCUUUUUGCCUCUUCUUCUUUUCCCCCAGCCAGCUUUCAAUGGUUAUAGAGCUUUAGCCUUCUGUGAAGAUAGAAAAAGCAUUCAUAUACUUUCCUUUGCAGAUCUAUCAUCUCCUUUCCAUUAAAGCAAUCCCUUGAUAUACCACAUACUCGAGUCUUAGUCAUUUCUUUCAAUAUGCAAUGCUGACUUGUUGGCAUAAUUUCAUCUCACUUACACAUUUUCAAACACAUUCUUCUCAACCUGAAGUCUGAGUAAGCUGGUAGCAAUGAAGACAAAAACAGUAUUCACCUUCAAUCACCAUAGUGUCCCAGCCCCUAGCUCAGUGCCAGCCAAAUAAUAAGAACCCACAAAUAUUUGGGUAAUGAAUGAGUAAAUGGGCUGUGUGUUGACAAGAGAGUAGCUGAAACGCUAAACUCAUUUGUUUUUUAGUGACAGUUACUAAGUGGGGAGAAUUCCAGGGGGAAUAAUGAUGGAGGACAGUGUGGAGUCUAAAGCCAAUGUGUGUGUGUGUGUGUGUGCGUGUUUGCGUGCAUGUGUGUGUGAGAGAGAGAGAGAGAUGUUCAGAGAUUAGCAGGAAGUACAGUUCAGAAUCAAAUAGCUUAAAGGAAAAGGAGGGAUUGGGACAUCACCCAUGGUAAAGGGUUCUGAGAAGCUACCCUAUUGAUUCAUAGAGGGUGUUCAGAGUCCCGUGUUUUAGUGACCCCAGUUCCACCUAGACCCAGCUCCAGGCAUAAUAUGUUUGACAAAAUGGCAGGACAGUGAAAGGGUCAUUAAAGUACUUUAUUUGUAUCAUGAAAAGAUUGACUUAUAAAUCUUCAUUAAAUAUUUGCCUUCCUAGCCAGACAUAAGCUCCAUAAAGACAGGCGCUGGCCCUCAGGGAGCAAGUGAACUGGCAUGGUGCCUGGCGCCCAGCAGUUCCUUCAUGAAGAUUUCAGAAUGACCAAGUGAGUUGAAUGCACAGCCCAGGCAUCUGUGUUUUCACACCUCUCCAGGGUCUGUUCCAUUAUUCACGUAGAAAAACCUGUUAACUAUUGUGAAGCAGCCUUGUAUCUGUAGCUGCCACACACUUCUCAAUGACCUUCCCUUUCCAAGUUGAGUUUUGCACCAUGUCAACAAGUGGCAGCUUUCUAGCAUCAAAUUGUUUGUCCAGGGUUAUCAGCAUUACUUUCUUUUCUUGUCCUCACUACAAUACACAUGCCCAUCUCAAAUCAGUUCCAUUGUUACUUAGGUAAUAGUAUUGUAGGGUGUCUUUACUUCAGAAAGAAUGAUAUAUUUAGCAAAUGUUACAGAUAUAGGAGGUUUUAAGUGGGACUAAAUGCAGCAAUUAAUGCUAAUGAGUCUGCUGUUAGCAUGUAAUAUUCUUGGUGUUAUAAUCAUGCAUCACUGAAUGCGAAGCCUCAGUUUGUGCAACAGAUGCCGAUCUUAAUGGCUAUAUUCUCUUCCCAUGGAUAAGCUAGCUUUAGUUAAAUGAAUCAUUAAGAAUAACCAUUUAAAAUGUUAAUGAAAACAGUGAUUAUAACCACCAAGAUUUUUUUUUUAACUUCUGGCUCUAUUACUUUUUAUUUUCGAAAGGACUUUGGGAAGGUAAGAAACUUAUUGCCUGUGUAUGUUGUUUUAAACAGAGAAGGCCGAUACAGUUUCUGUUCACAGCAGCCCUGAGGCCGCAUGCCUGUAUUAUUAACACCAACCGUACUUGGAGACUAACUCUCUUUUGUUCUCAUUUGUCAUUUCUUUUAAAUAUUCAUUUAGGGUAUAAGACAGAAUUGGGUAAGUAGGAUCCUUGACAGUCCAACUAGUUGGUAAACAAAUAUUUUGUCUUCCUGAAAGUAUCAUUAUACUAUCGCAAAUUAAGACUGAAAAGGAAAAAAAUACCAGGAUGUUGAUAUUUAAGAAUAAAUACUUUAUCUUUUCAGAACAACAAUAAGAAGGCUGGUUUAGGCUUUAUCGCUGGAAAAUGGAGUUUGUGAAACAAAGAAGUAAUAGAUGCAUAGCAAGAGCUCAGUGUCCUUCCACAUUGUGUCACCGGUUGUACCCUGAGACAGAUUCUCCAAGUCUUAGAACAUGGAUAUGCAGUGAGAGUGAGGUUUACGUAGAAAAGUCUUUGUGUCUUGGGAGUGCCAUGUGUAUUGAAUGUCUAUGACUCAUGUCUCCCCUUGACUCACUUCUUGGCUGGGCUACAUGACUCAUCAGGCCUGGUAGGUUCAGGGCAGUGUAGCUGGUGGGGAAGGGCUAAGUGAAGAGGGGCUGUCUAGACCUGGGGAGCAUGGUUAUAAUGAGCUUUUUCAAACGUACAACUCAACUCUCUUGCACCUAGGAAGUAUCUUCAUCCAGAAGGAGUUCUCAGUCCUUUUUCUGGUCCUGCAGAGCAAAAGAGGAGAGAGAAAAAGAGAAUGAGUUACAUGGGCCCACUGUAUGUUAUAGCUGACUGCUGAUGGUAUCAGAGACACGAUUGAAAACUAUUGACCCUCAAGUUAUCACAAAUGGUUAUGAAAUGGAAAUGGAAUGGGAAGGAGUAUGAAAAAAUAAGCUGAAUACUGACAAACCUAAGAAUUAUUUUCUUCAGCUUUGUCUUCCAAAGGACAAUGGUGUGAGGAGGACUUCAUCCUUGUGUAACACCCUGUGUGUGUGUUUUUCUUCUUUCUCUCACCAAAGCAUUUUUUUUUCCUCCCUUUUGCUGGAGGCCUGUCUCUUUCUCUUGAACAGAUCAACAAUCAGGUCGUAAAUGGGAGUUGGAGCCGGAUGAUCAAAAAGAACUUUAGAAAAAUGGGAAUAAAAGCAAGAGCUGAUGAGUUUGAAAUGAAAGCCCAUCUGGGAGAGCUCUUCUAAUGAACUCAGCCUACUCAAACUGUACAAAGAAAGCUGAAGAAUGAUUGCAGCUGCAAUCUCCAACCUACAUAAAGCACUAACGCUGGUAAGGUGAUGAAAGUGAAGGGAGGUAACUGGUAUCUGGAUUUGGAAGAGAGAAGUCAAAGGCCAUCACCCCCUUGUACUACUGCAUUCACCAUGUAAGUUCCUUCGGAAAUUUCACAGCCAAUCUGAAUUAAAGAGACAGCUGCAGAUGCUUCAGGAUGAAGGUCACACUCUGAAUUCUACGAAGAGCCCUAUGAUUCAAAAGUACCAUCUCUUUAGCCUCAGAGCAGUUGUAUACCACCUUCUCACUUGCUCUGUCCCUGGGCUAGUAUGGCUUUGAAAUUAUGUUAAAGAAGAGGCAUUUUCCCUCACAAAGACUCCCAAAAUAUGACUAUUAAGUGAAAGAACAGGUAGAGGGAGGGAAAGAGCUGAAUCUAAGUGGAGAUUAAUAAAGUGUUGUUUUGAAAUUGUUCCUUUAUUUUUCCUGGGUUAAUUAUCGCCAUUUAGUCACGACUUCCUGACACAGCACCAGAAAUUUUGUUGAAAUCUUAAUAUUCUGCAGGAAACUGACCUGACUACCAGCAGGAAUUAUAUUGACUAAUUAAUAAUGUCCAGUCUCCCUCAAGGAUAAGUCACCUCUGUCUGGCUCUAUCAUGGCCACUCUUAGAAUGAUGGUGAUGGUCCACUGAUUGUCACAUCCAAUGAAUUUAUCUGAAGUAUUUGUCCUAUGUAACCUCUUCAAAGCUUUCAGCGCCAGUCACCACCCAGUUUUCAUUUUCUUGUUUCUCUUCCUAACUCUCUCACAAUUUCUCAAUUUCCAUAAUUGUCUCCUCUUUCUCCAUGCACACUUUUAUACAUUGUUUUUCUCCAGGAUUGUACUUUUCUCCUGAUCUCACAGAGCACUCCUAAUACAGUGUUGGUUUUAUUUACAUUUAAUAUAAUUGAAAUCUGAAAUGGUAUACUCAGCUGCUCCAUGUAGAUAUUUGAGGGUACCUCAAAUUCAACAUGUCCUGAGCUGAAACUCAUCAUCUUCCACUUUACUUUGGUUCUUCUUCUAAAUUCCCUGUUAUCAGUUAAUGGAACUCUAAUUCAUCUAUAAAUUUAAGCUAGUAUCCACAGAAUUAUUAUUUUUGGGGGGGUGGGGGGUGGGGUACAGAGUCUCACUCUGUUGCUCAGGCUGGCUUGCAAUGGCACAAUCUUGGCUCACUGUAACCUCUGCCUCCCAGGUUCAAGCAAUCCUCCCAGCUCAGUCUCCUGAGUAGCUGGGAAUACAGGUGCAUGCCACCACACCUGGCUAAUUUUUGCAUUUUUAGGAGACACGGUUUCAACAUGUUGGCUAGGCUGGUCUCAAACUCCUGACCUCAAGUGAUCUGCUUGCCUCAGCCUCCCAAAGUGCUGGGAUUACAAACGUAAGCCACCACCCCCAGCCAAAGUUAUUCUUAUUUCCUUCUUUUUCUUCAUGUGUCUUAUGUAGUCAUAUAUUAUUUUACAUUUUUUCUAAUUUUUAAAAAAUUAUUUAAACAAAUUUUUAGCACACACCACCUUUGUUAUUCUCAUAAAUUGACCUCUACUCUCCAUCGUCACUUCCACUGCCUUUGUUCAGUGCCUUGUCAUUUGUUACCAGCAUCACUACGUAGAUUUCCAACUGGUGUUUUGGUCUGCGAUAUUGUAUCCCCUUACCCACAGCUAUUCCAUCUGUCUUUCAUAGUGAACAGAAUGUACAUACAUAAAGUUGAUCAUGUACUCAUCUUAUUUAAAUGUUCGUGGUCUUUUUACCUGUAAAAAUCCAAAUAGAUUAGUAAAACAUCAGUUCACUUAACCUAGCUUUCCAACCCCGAUCUCUUGACAUUACACUCCUUUUGCUAUGAAUUUUAUGCUUUAUUCAGACUUCAAUCUCACCCUUUCUAGAUCUGGUUUUUCCUUUUUAUUUAAAAUGUCUUGUUUGGCAAGCUCCUGCUUACUAUACAAAAUCUAUCUCAGAUGUGCCCUUCUCUGUGAUUCAUUCUCUCCAAUUUCCCUAGUUGAUUCUCAGCUUAUGCUAGCAUUUUAAGUCUUUGUUUUUCUGCUUUUCAUCACUAUUUUAAGAGUGGGCCCAAACCAUGUCUUCUCAACUUUUGCAUCUCUAUUGCCUAUCAAAGUUCCUUACACAAAGAAGUUUCUAGAUAAUUACUCAAUGGAUGAAUGAAUACAUGGGAGUCUUUUGCCUCUCAUCUCACAUUUAUAAGAGUGUCCCCACUCUGAUGUACCUUGAAGGUGGAAGAAACUUACUAUUCCAAGUGGUGUUGAAAGCGGAGAAGUUGUGACAGGACAAGAAGUGUUUUUCUAAUCUAAACCAGGUAUCUUAUUUCCCUAUAUUUGCUUCUAUCAUUUUCUCUACUCCUCUAGGUCUAGAAAAAUGAUGAUAUCUAUGAUACAUCUACGUUAUACUAUAAUAGAUAUGUGAAACUAAAUUUUUUGUCACUCUUUUAAAUUGUUUUAAAUUGACAUGUAAUAAUUGUGCAUAUUCAUUACAUGUGAUGUUUCAAUACAUAUAAUGUAUAGUGAUCAGAUCAGGGCAAUCAACAUAUACAUCAUCUCAAACAUUUGUCAUUUCUUUGUGUUGAGAAGGUUCAAUAACCUACUUUUAGCUAUUUGAAAUUAUAUAUUAUUGUUAACUCUAGUCAUCCUAUCUUGGUACAGAAUGCAUUAGAACUUAUUUCCCUUAUCUAGCUGUAGUUUUGUAUUCUUUAACAAAUCUCUUAUCAUCCAAACAGUAAAUUAAAAAAUAAAUACAAUAUGCAGGGGAAACUGCAUAACUCAAAUUCUAAAAAUAUGCUUAAGAGUGAAAACAAAAACUGAUUUCGAAUAUAUUGAUGCCCUUUCUGUAUUUGGUAGACUUAAAUAUGAACAUUUGUAUUAUCUUUUGUUAGUGUCUCUUGACUUAGAGGCUUAUAUUUAAGGAUCCCAAUAAAUAUUUUUUAAUCCAUACUCAAUGUCAUACUGAGGACUAACCACCUAUGAGUUUAUAGAGGGAUUGUGAUUAGAUCAUAAUCAGUUUUCUCACUGAUCUAUUGAAGCAGGUUAAUUUGGUCUCACAGAACUUUAAAAUUUUUUCUUUCUCUACUUCAUUUCACUGUGAAAUUAGCAAUUAUUUUUUCCUGUAAGGUAAUAAUAUGAUCAAGAAGAAAAACAGGAAGGCUGAUAAAGAGAUAUGUACAGUAGAAUUUUCUCCACUGAUCCUUUGUCUGGAAGGCAACUAAAAUUUAGGCAGUCCAGAUUCUUUCAGUCAACAGGAGGCACUGUAGUUAUUCAGAUAAAACUAUGUUUCAUUCCUUAAUUUUGGUAAAUACCAUCCUAUAUUUAUUUUCUUGGAUUAUUAUAAAACACAAUCUCAGAAUUCUGUAUAUCACAUCUGAAUCUGCAAUCUGAAUUAAGCAAAAGAAAAAACUUAGAAUGAGAUUAAUUUUAUUUGUCUAACUGACUGGGCUAAGUGGUGCUUAGACAGUUGUUUAAACAUUAUUCCUGGAUGUGUCUGUGAGGGUGUUUCUGGAUGAGAUUAACAUUUGAAUUGGUAGACUGAGAAAGCAGAUUGAUCUUCCCAAAUGUGGGUAGGCCUCACCUAAUCCAUUGAAGGCCUGAAUAGAAUAAAAGGCUAAGUAAGAAAGAAUUAUCUCUCAUUACCUGCCUUCAAGCUAGGACAUUAGUUUUCUCCUGCCUUCACACUUGGACUUGGACUGAAAUUACUUUCACACUAUCAGCUUUCCUGAGUCUUCAGCUUAUUGGCUGUAGAUUUUGAGACUUCUCAGCUUCCAUAAUCAUGUGAGCCAUUUUAAAAUUUUAUCUAUCUAUCUAUCUAUCUGUCUGUCUGUCUGUCUAUCUUCUAUGGGUUUUGUUUCUCUGAAGAAAUCAGACUAAUACAGUAAGUUUUAACAAAAUAUUUUAAGUAAGCUGAGCUUAGCUCAAUCAAAUGAAUAAUAAUACAUUAUUGUCUUUUAUACCUUGCUCUUUAUCACACUCUAAGAAGAUAUUUCUUAAAGUCCUUAUUCUCUUAUCCUCAAUCACAGUAUUACCCACCCCCCCAAAAAAAACUUUACUAAAGGAAGUUGCUGCUGUAGCUCAUCAACAUAUGUCCUUAUAUUUAAAGAAUAUUGGUGUGUAUAGCUUUAGUCAGAGGUGGAUUAUCUAGUUUCUUUACUAUAUUAAUCAUUGUAUUCUGUCCUGAGACUAGAAUAUACUGAUAUAAUAGACAGUGUAGACUGGGCACAGUGGCUCACACCUAUAAUCCCAGCAUUUUGGGAGGCCCAGGUGGGCAGAUCACUUGAGGCCAGGAAUUUGAGACCAGCCUGGGCAACAUGGCAAAACCCCUGUCUGUACUAAAAAUACAAAAAUUAGCCAGGCAUAGUGUCACAUGAUUAUAGUCCCUGAUACUUAGAGAUUGAGAUACAGAAUCGCUUGAACCUGGGAGGCAGAGGUUGCAGUGAGCUGAGAUUAUGCCACUGCACUCCAGCCUGGGUGACAGAGUGAGACUCCUUCUCAAAAAAAAAAAAAAAAAAAAAAAAGAAAGACAGUGUACAUAUCAUAUAUUUUUGUUCAUGUGUUCUUUCUGUGUCACUUCCUCUCAUUCCAUCUUUUUUUUUUUUUUUUGGCUAUAUUCUUUGCUUUGAGGACAUGAGUCAAUGUAAGAAAAUGGCUUAUUUAUAUAUCCUUCCCUUUUUGCUCUUAUGCAGUGUGAGUCCCUUAAAGUCCCUUAAUCUUUAUGAACAUUCUUCUGUCUAAAUAAGACCUUGUGCCAUGUCACACGAUGCUUCACAUUAAAAUUAUACCUCUGCUAGACUGUAAAAUUAAGGAAGUCAGAGUCCCUAAUUUAUUUUUUCUAAGUGUAUCAGUGCAGUAAUGAUUUGAGUGCACAAAAAUCCUACGGGUAUUCAAUAAAAAAUUCUGUAACAAUAAAGAUAAUUUCAAAAAUAAAAUUUCUGAUUUAUCAUUGUACCUUUGUAUAAUACCUGAAUCACAGAAUACUGUGACAGAGGGUAAGAAAAUAGGAACUUUAUGAAAUAUGCCCUGAGAGGACAGAAUCAGAGUGGAAGUGAUCAAAGAAUGCAUUGUUUAUUAAGUAGAAAGCUUUCUCUAAGUGAGCCCACGUAGAUUUCUUUCCCCAUC
rnacentral:lncRNA from 1 species